GAUGAACGCUAGCUACAGGCUUAACACAUGCAAGUCGAGGGGUAACAUUGGCUGAGCUUGCUCAGCCAGAUGACGACCGGCGCACGGGUGAGUAACGCGUAUCCAACCUGCCCAUGGGUCAGGGAUAAACUCCCGAAAGGGAGCCUAAUACCUGAUGUUGUGAGAAGAAGGCCUCUGAUUUUCACGAAAGACUUCGGUCGCCGAUGGAUGGGGAUGCGUACGAUUAGGCAGCAGGCGGGGUAACGGCCCACCUGGCCAACGAUCGUUAGGGGUUCUGAGAGGAAGGUCCCCCACACUGGUACUGAGACACGGACCAGACUCC
rnacentral:rRNA from 1 species